AUGAUGGCAGGCACCAGUCGGCCCAUAGCAGGCCAAUUAGUCCUUGUCGGCCCACUGCAGGCCUAUCGGCCAACUGCAGGCCGACUGGACUUGAUCUGGUGGCCGACAGCCCAAUCGGCCAGCAGCAAGCAGAUGGGCCACCAGUCGGCCUGCUGUGGGCUGACUAGGCUCAGUCGGCCUGCAGUGGGCCGACGCAAAAAUGUGGUUAUUUUUUGGAACCCUAACAGCAAGGUCUUGGAUCUUGAAGGUCGUACAGGUUUUAAACACCACCAUACAAAAGAGAUAUGCAAAAUGCUUCUUUUGAAGUUUCUCAGCCUCCGGAGAACUGACACCAAAGAGCUUCCAAAAAAGAUUGAUAGGCUUAUGAACCUAGAGACCUUGGACAUAAGAGAGACAGAUGUUGUUGAGUUGCCUAAAACCAUAUGCCAGCUUGAACGGCUAGUUAACAUAAUUGGUGGGAAUAAAAAAAACACGGAUGGUAUUGAGAUUGUUGGGGAGUCGGUGGACUUUCACCAUUUGACCGAGUUGAGGAAACUUGCCAUCUACAAGCUCAAAACAAUGGGAGGUGGUGCAAGUUUUGAAGAAUUAAGCUCCUCCAUCGAGUACCUUGGUGGAUAUUCUCUACACACACUCAUAAUUGUUGAUGAAUCAUCUGAGUUCCUAAAAUCAUUGGAUGCUCUGUCUACGCUUCCAAAAUUUCUGACUGCCGUUGAGUUAUCUGGAAAGAUGGUUAAGUUCCCUGGUUGGAUAAAUCAACUCAAUGCUCUCAGCAAGCUAACCCUUUUAGUGAUAGCUCUUCAGAAAGAUAACUUGGAGAACCUCAGCAAACUAGAGGCGUUGUUUUCUCUCACCUUUUCAUUUAGGGCAAAAAAGCUAGAUCCAUAA
rnacentral:rRNA from 1 species